rnacentral:RNase_P_RNA from 1 species
CGAGCCGGCCGGGCGACCGCGUCGGGCCUCUUCACGAGGCCCGCCGAGGAAGGUCCGGGCUCCACAGGGCAGGGUGGUCGGUAACGCCGACCCGGGGCGACCCGCGGGAAAGUGCCACAGAAAGCAAACCGCCUUCCGGAUUUCCGGGAGGUAAGGGUGAAAGGGUGGUGUAAGAGACCACCAGCGCCCACGGUGACGUGGGCGGCUCGGUAAACCCCACCCGGAGCAAGGUCAAGAAGGGAUGUUCCCCUCGGGGACCGUCCCGCGUGCGCCGCUUGAGGGCUGCCCGCCCGAGGCGCACGGGUAGACCGCUCGAGGCCGCCGGCAACGACGGCCCUAGAUGGAUGGUCGCCCCUUCGCCUCGGCGAAGGACAGAACCCGGCCUACAGGCCGGCUCGUCCC